ACAAAAGUGUCAUUAACUUGGCUGGGACCUUGCGUCAUGUGGGCUCACAUGUUCAUGUUGCCAGCAACUGGAAAAGGUGAACGUUUCUAGGCCAGGGAGUGAUUGAUAGCAGGUGUCAAGCAGGACUAGGGAUUUAUGACAGGGUCUGAACCAACAGCUGGAGCAGGACUUCAGACCCUGGUGCUUGCAUACCCAAGUGUCAGCAACUGGAGAUACUGGGAUCCUGGGGCAGCUGCUGGGAAGACUGGAGCCCACAAACAAAGGUUGAAUGAUUAACAGCAACUACUGAAUGUGAAACCUCUGGAUUUAAUCCCAGGAGUCUGUAUCACCCCCAAAAGGGCUCAGCAACCAAUACAGGACCAGGAUCAUGAAGUCUUUGGAUUGUAAAUAUGCAAUUAGCAGCUGGAGUAGAAGUAAAAGCAGAAAAUGUCAACUGUCAAGUAGCUCCACUGAAAGACACAUGAUGCUUCAAGCUAAGACAGAAAGACAAAAGCAUCUACCAACAAGGAUGAAGGCUGCAAAAUCUCUCUUUAAAUAUUCCAUUAAUCUCUUCCGUGAAAUAAAUACAGUCAAUACAUACAGGAAUGAGGAAUCCACUAUCAAAACUGCAGUUUAUUUUUGCAAUAAAGCUCUGUGUGGUAAUAAUAUACUCCAUUGCCAGUAGACAUUCUGUAUCUCAUCUCUGUUAUAAUUCAUAACAUAUAGCCUUUUAUGUAACAUAUCGCUGGCCAUAUCCCAGCAACAUUGCUGAUUUUCCAAAAAUAUAUAUAUGAAAAGAAUGCAAUGCAUCAUUGUGCUCUGUACUAUAUUUCCAUUCUAGACCAAAACUUCUAGUUCUGCUUCCAAACAGUAGAUUUCUUUUAAGUCCUCUCUACUAAAACCUGGAUAUGUCUUGGCUCUUAUAUGUGACAGCUGACUCUACUUUACUCCAGAAUUGUGGCAGAGGAAUGCUGGAAGGAAGCAAGAGGGAUGUACAGAGAUAUUCAUUUUCAUCAGGAAGCCAAAAAAAAUCUAUUUGAUGCAACAUGUUAUGUAUCUUAAGGCCCUAUAAAAGGUCUAAAUAAUUACAGGAGGCUGAAUUCUCUAGGCGCUCUUAGAGAUUCACAUCACUAGGAGAGGUUUGUUGUGAGACAGAAUUAAAAGAAUAAGGCUAGUUUUAACCUAUAAAUGUAAAGACUUUGCCAAGCCAAGAUAAGCAGAGAGAUGAACUCUUGCCUGCACAGCUGCCCUCUUAAACCAUCAUAUUAGCCUUGGCUUAACCUUCAUGUGUUUUCUCAAAAGCAGCUACCAUAGAGUUCCUCUGGGUUUAAUGCUGUGAAAAAAAAGUGGUUGUUCGAUGUGUUUUUAAAUAUUAAAAGGAUGUGGUAAUAACCUCCCUACCAACAAAAGCUUUUGGUAGCUUUCUGGCCAUGAGAUUAGUGACUCAAAAUUAUUAUUUUUUAUUUGUUUUAUAUACAUAUAUAUAUAAUUUUUAUAAUAUUUUCUUUAUAACUUUCAAAGAGAUAAAAUAAGUGCUUCUAUUAAUCUCAUAUUGCAGAUUUCCACAUUGCUAGUUAUGCAUAUUCAAUUUUAUUUUAAAUUUUCACAGUUCUUACCAUUUUUGUUUUAUCUGUCGUGUAUUUGCUAAUGUGUCUGUUAUGCUUGAGGUAUAUAAUCUAAAAAUGACAUAUAUAUCCUGUAAUCUAAUAGGAUAACACCUAAAGAUAUAUCUAAAAAACAUUCAUACAAUGUUAGCUCUGGUAUUGAUCAAAACAGAAAACAAGUGCACAGAUUGUGUCUCUAUUGUACUAUAAGUAAAUUUUAUUCCUGCAAAUCCCAUUGAUGAUUCAUCUGUUUUGCACUGGUAGGACAGGUGAAACUGCUGGGCAGUCUCACAUGCCAUGGUCUCCUAUGGGGCUGGGAUCCCAAGUACACUGCUGCAGGUGUGUGCAUCCUCUGCUUCCAGAGUGCUUCACUAGCAUCAUCACAGCUUUUGACAGAGCUCCAUGAUAACAGAUGUGUGGGCUUAUAUUCUACUUCUUUUCUGGCAUGUGAUAGCUUACACAAAAAAUAACCAGGUUUGAAAAGGAUAUUUAAUUUUAUUUUUAAUGGUGUAAUUAAAAGUUUCUUGACCUAUGUAAAAUCUGAAGUACCUGUCAGUGUCUUUUCUCGGUACUUAUUUCUCUCAUAUUAUCUUAACUUUGCUGGUAGGAAUCUGUUUUGAUAUACAUUUUUGUUUUGUUUGAUAUACACAUGUUGAUAUCAUUAAUCAAAAUGCAGUCAACACAGUCUUAGCACACAUUAAAGACCAUGGCAUACCUUAAAGUAAUAAAAUGAAACAUAGUUGAAAACUGGUUGAUUCC
rnacentral:lncRNA from 1 species